AUUGAACGCUGGCGGCAUGCUUUACACAUGCAAGUCGAACGGUAACAGGCCGCAAGGUGCUGACGAGUGGCGAACGGGUGAGUAAUGCAUCGGAACGUGCCCAGUCGUGGGGGAUAACGCAGCGAAAGCUGCGCUAAUACCGCAUACGAUCUGUGGAUGAAAGCGGGGGACCGAAAGGCCUCGCGCGAUUGGAGCGGCCGAUGUCAGAUUAGGUAGUUGGUGGGGUAAAGGCCCACCAAGCAAACGAUCUGUAGCUGGUCUGAGAGGACGACCAGCCACACUGGGACUGAGACACGGCCCAGACUCCUACGGGAGGCAGCAGUGGGGAAUUUUGGACAAUGGGCGCAAGCCUGAUCCAGCAAUGCCGCGUGCAGGAAGAAGGCCUUCGGGUUGUAAACUGCUUUUGUACGGAACGAAACGGCUCUGGUUAAUACCUGGGGCUAAUGACGGUACCGUAAGAAUAAGCACCGGCUAACUACGUGCCAGCAGCCGCAGUAA
rnacentral:rRNA from 1 species